GGCAUCACCCACACGAGUCAUGUGAACCCGGUGACGAGGUCGUAUUUCCAUAUUUUCCUUUCAGUUUCAGUCGAUUUGCAAUUUCCGCUUAGAGCAUUGACUAGCAUUACCAAACGAAAAGAAAGGACAUCAAAAGACCCAAGUCUCCUGAGAUUAAACACAGAUCGAUUUUACAGUUGGUUUAAGAUUUGCUUUGGGAACAAAACGAGGGAACUUCAAAUACUCUCAUGAGUCCUGAGAUGUAACACGACCAAUUUUUUCAGUUGAUUUGCAAUUUCCGCUCAGAGCAUUGGCUAACAUUACCAAACGAAACGAGAGGACAUCAAAAGACCCACGUUUCCUGAGAUUAAACACAGACCAAUUUUUAUUCGAGAUUUGCAUUUGAAACAAAACGAGGGAACUUCAAAUA